GCCUGGCUGGCUGAGUUAGUAUAGCAUGAGAUUCUUGAUCUCAAGAUUGUGAGUACAAACCCAAUGUUGGGUG
rnacentral:tRNA from 1 species